CGGACGGGUGAGUAACACGUGGAUAACCUACCUAUAAGACUGGGAUAACUUCGGGAAACCGGAGCUAAUACCGGAUAAUAUAUUGAACCGCAUGGUUCAGUAGUGAAAGACGGUUUUGCUGUCACUUAUAGAUGGAUCCGCGCCGCAUUAGCUAGUUGGUAAGGUAACGGCUUACCAAGGCAGCGAUGCGUAGCCGACCUGAGAGGGUGAUCGGCCACACUGGAACUGAGACACGGUCCAGACUCCUACGGGAGGCAGCAGGA
rnacentral:rRNA from 1 species